GGGGCCGAUUUGGAUUCGACGCCGGUUACAAAACUUCUGGUGCAUGCCGUGAUGACAGCCAAUCACGUUAAUCCAAAGCUGUAAACCUAAUAGUUGCCAACGACGACAACUACGCUCUAGCCGCUUAAACCCCGGUUAGCGGUCGCUACCAGAUGCUUGUAAAUGGGACGCGACUGUCAUAUAGAACAAGCUAGCGAGUAAGGUAUGUCUGAGACCGAGCCGCGAAACACUUAAUCAGAAUCGCUAAUUACGUCCUGCCCGUCGGGCUGUAUGCAGCUAAAUUAAUUGACGGAAACCAAGCAUGUGAAGAGCCAUAAGCAGCGGACUGGCGGACGCGGGUUCAAUUCCCGCCGGCUCCACCA
rnacentral:tmRNA from 2 species